ensembl:snRNA U5 U5 spliceosomal RNA
CGACUCUGGUUUCUCUUCAUUACGCACAAGCCUUUCGGCUUUUACUAAAGACUUCGGUGGAGAGGAACACUUACGGGUUCAACGUAUUUUUGGAGAGGAUUUGCUUCUGUCAGAGCC